rnacentral:rRNA from 1 species
UAGCGACAGGCUUAACACAUGCAAGUCGAGGGGUAACAGGGUAGCAAUACCGCUGACGACCGGCGCACGGGUGAGUAACGCGUAUGCAACCUGCCUAGUAACUGGGGAAUAGCUCCCUGAAAGGGGAAUUAACACCGCAUAACACUAUUGAUUCGCAUGGAUUGGUAGUUAAAUGUAGCGAUACAGGUUAUAGAUGGGCAUGCGUGACAUUAGCUAGUUGGUGAGGUAACGGCUCACCAAGGCUACGAUGUCUAGGGGUUCUGAGAGGAAGGUCCCCCCACACUGGUACUGAGACACGGACCAGACUCCUACGGGAGGCAGCAGUGAGGAAUAUUGGUCAAUGGGCGCAAGCCUGAACCAGCCAUGUCGCGUGCAGGAAGAACCUGCCCUAUGGGUUGUAAACUGCUUUUAUAGUAGAAGAAACACAUCUACGUGUAGAUGUCUGCCAGUAUACUAUGAAUAAGCAUCGGCUAACUCCGUGCCAGCCGCCGC